UAGUGUUUCUGUCUUGUCUUUGUCGGGUCAUUGUAUGCUGUCUCCCUGUGUCGUGUGCAGAUACUGUCUUGUGAUGUUCUGUUUGCCUGCCUGUCGUGGCACCCUGUUUUCUGUGGAUUUGGAUUUCUGUUUGAAUCAACAGUUUUGGAUUUUGGACUCAGCCACUCUCUGUAAGUGUGCUCGCCUCUUAUUUCGUUUAUUAAAACCCUUGAACUGUACCUGUCAGCCUUGAGUCCAGCAUUUGGGUCCUCCCACCUACUACCUGCUUCACCACACGAACCAUGACAUCGCUCUACAGUCUCCAUCAUCCAAACCUUUUGCAGGGAAAACAGGAUUGGAAACUUCUCAGUGAACAACAAGAACAGGAGAUCUGUAAUGCCAUCACCUUGAGACAGAUUCGCACUGCAAUCCUACAAGACAAUGCCAUAUUCCAAAAUGUCAACUCUAUAAGCAUCUCCACAAUAGACCGGAUAUUGAAGAAUCAGAUGACAAUGAAGCAAACUUACAGGGUACUAUUUAAGAGGAACUCUGAGAGUGAAAGAGCUGUGGUACCAGUAUGUACAUAGAAGAAUGGCAUUUUAAGGAAAUGAGACCCAUCACAUCCUC